GACCAGACUCCUACGGGAGGCAGCAGUGGGGGAUAUUGGACAAUGGGGGAAACCCUGAUCCAGCGACGCCGCGUGAGUGAAGAAGUAUUUCGGUAUGUAAAGCUCUAUCAGCAGGGAAGAAAGAAAUGACGGUACCUGAGUAAGAAGCCCCGGCUAACUACGUGCCAGCAGCCGCGGUAAUACGUAGGGGGCAAGCGUUAUCCGGAAUUACUGGGUGUAAAGGGAGCGUAGACGGUUAAGCAAGUCUGGAGUGGAAGGCGGGGGCCCAACCCCCGGACUGCUCUGGAAACUGUGUAACUGGAGUGCAGGAGAGGUAAGCGGAAUUCCUAGUGUAGCGGUGAAAUGCGAAGAUAUUAGGAGGAACACCAGUGGCGAAGGCGGCUUACUGGACUGUAACUGACGUUGAGGCUCGAAAGCGUGGGGAGCAAACAGGAUUAGAUACCCGCGUAG
rnacentral:rRNA from 1 species